rnacentral:rRNA from 1 species
UACGUAGGGUGCAAGCGUUGUCCGGAAUUAUUGGGCGUAAAGAGCUCGUAGGCGGUCUGUCGCGUCUGCUGUGAAAACCUAGGGCUUAACUCUGGGCGUGCAGUGGGUACGGGCAGGGCUAGAGUGCGGUAGGGGAGACUGGAAUUCCUGGUAUAGCGGUGAAAUGCGCAGAUAUAGGAGGACACCGGUGGCGAAGGCGG